AAUGGGCUCCUGCACUGAUUCGGUCAUACCCUAUGAUCUCAAACAGAUGCGGGCCUCUGGUUUGCUGGGCUACAGCUGUGUUCUCGGAGCCACUGCCCACUUCCCAGGACAGAUGACACUUGUCUAUAACUGCAUCAUCCAGCACAGAAGCUGCUACUGUGGCUUGAAAUGUGGCCAGUCCAAAAUAAGAUGGAUGCUGAGGCCUGAAAAUUCUAAACUCUUCUCAAAACUAGCUGGAGGAUGAAGUCAACAAGCAGGAGGGCAGAGCCAGAGGCAUAGGAGAACUUGAAUAAACGAGCCUGCACGCUCACACGUAAAGGAGCUACACUGAUUGAGACUGCAAUUCUUCCAUCAAGUGGCA